AAUGGAGGAAACUCUGAUCCAGCGAUGCCGCGUGAAGGAAGACGGCCUAUGGGUUGUAAACUUCUUUUAUACAGGAAGAACCUUUCCACGUGUGGAAAGCUGACGGUACUGUAAGAAUAAGGAUCGGCUAACUCCGUGCCAGCAGCCGCGGUAAUACGGAGGAUCCAAGCGUUAUCCGGAAUUAUUGGGUUUAAAGGGUCCGCAGGCUGUUUGUUAAGUCAGGGGUGAAAUCCCACCGCUCAACGGUAGAACUGCCUUUGAUACUGGCAAACUUGAGUUAUUGUGAAGUAGUUAGAAUGUGUAGUGUAGCGGUGAAAUGCAUAGAUAUUACACAGAAUACCAAUUGCGAAGGCAGAUUACUAACAAUUAACUGACGCUGAGGGACGAAAGCGUGGGUAGCGAACAGGAUU
rnacentral:rRNA from 1 species